rnacentral:rRNA from 1 species
UACGUAGGUGGCAAGCGUUGUCCGGAAUUAUUGGGCGUAAAGCGCGCGCAGGCGGUCCUUUAAGUCUGAUGUGAAAGCCCACGGCUCAACCGUGGAGGGUCAUUGGAAACUGGGGGACUUGAGUGCAGGAGAGAAGAGUGGAAUUCCACGUGUAAGCGGUGAAAUGCGUAGAGAUGUGGAGGAACACCAGUGGCGAAGGCGGCAUCCUGGACCGACAUUGACGCUGAUGAGCGAAAGCUAGGGGAGCAAACGGG